GGGGGAUAUUGCACAAUGGAGGAAACUCUGAUGCAGCGACGCCGCGUGAGGGAAGACGGUCUUCGGAUUGUAAACCUCUGUCUUUAGGGACGAAAAAAUGACGGUACCUAAGGAGGAAGCCACGGCUAACUACGCGCCAGCAGCCGCGGUAAUACGUAGGUGGCAAGCGUUGUCCGGAAUUACUGGGUGUAAAGGGAGCGUAGGCGGGGAGACAAGUUGAAUGUUUAAACUAUCGGCUCAACUGAUAGUCGCGUUCAAAACUAUCACUCUUGAGUGCAGUAGAGGUAGGCGGAAUUCCUAGUGUAGCGGUGAAAUGCGUAGAUAUUAGGAGGAACACCAGUGGCGAAGGCGGCCUACUGGGCUGUAACUGACGCUGAGGCUCGAAAGCGUGGGUAGCAAACAGGAUUAGAUACCCUGGUAGUCCACGCCGUAAACGAUGAUUACUAGGUGUGGGGGGACUGACCCCUUCCGUGCCGGAGUUAACACAAUAAGUAAUCCACCUGGGGAGUACGACCGCAAGGUUGAAACUCAAAGGAAUUGACGGGGGCCCGCACAAGCAGUGGAGUAUGUGGUUUAAUUCGAAGCAACGCGAAGAACCUUACCAGGUCUUGACAUCGAGUGACGAACAUAGAGAUAUGUUUUUCCUUCGGGACACGAAGACAGGUGGUGCAUGGUUGUCGUCAGCUCGUGUCGUGAGAUGUUGGGUUAAGUCCCGCAACGAGCGCAACCCUUAUCAUUAGUUGCUACGCAAGAGCACUCUAAUGAGACUGCCGUUGAUAAAACGGAGGAAGGUGGGGAUGACGUCAAAUCAUCAUGCCCCUUAUGACCUGGGCUACACACGUACUACAAUGGUGAUCAAACAGAGGGAAGCAACACAGCGAUGUGAAGCAGAACCCGAAAAAUCAUCUCAGUUCAGAUUGCAGGCUGCAACUCGCCUGCAUGAAGUCGGAAUUGCUAGUAAUCGCGGAUCAGCAUGCCGCGGUGAAUACGUUCCCG
rnacentral:rRNA from 1 species